UACGUAGGUCCCGAGCGUUGUCCGGAUUUAGUGGGCGUAAAGCGAGCGCAGGUGGUUUAUUAAGUCUGGUGUAAAAGGCAGUGGCUCAACCAUUGUAUGCAUUGGAAACUGGUAGACUUGAGUGCAGGAGAGGAGAGUGGAAUUCCAUGUGUAGCGGUGAAAUGCGUAGAUAUAUGGUGGAACACCGGUGGCGAAAGCGGCUCUCUGGCCUGUAACUGACACUGAGGCUCGAAAGCGUGGGGAGCAAACAGG
rnacentral:rRNA from 1 species